GUGCCCUUAGCUCAGCUGGAUAGAGCAACAGACUUCUAAUCUGUAGGUCAAAGGUUUGAAUCCUUUAGGGCCCC
rnacentral:tRNA from 1 species